rnacentral:rRNA from 1 species
GUCUACGGCCAUGCCACCCUGAACUGCCCCAUCCUGUCUGAUCUUGGAAGCUAAGCAGGGUCGGGCCAGGUUAGUACUUGGAUGGGAGACCACCUAGGAAGAACAGGUGCUGUAGGUA